GGGAAGCUAAACUAGGCUUGGGCAGAGAGAAGCACAACUAGGCUGCUGGCCUGACCUGCCUUUGGCCUAACCAGUAGAAAGUGUGGGAGCAUUACCAAGUUGUUCUGCAUCAAGCUGAAAUGACCAGGUGUUUAUUCCCCUGGUUCACUCAGUCACCAAAUAUGUAUCUGUCUGCUUCUGGUGGAGAUUGUGAAGGGGAUGACAGUUAGAACUAUCUGUCCCCUGUCAGUGCUCCCCACAGCUGGGUAGCAAGCCCUUGCAUCUACUACAGUGUUCCAAUGUUCAUAGUUAAUGGAUUCUUAUUAAUGGUUGAUGGAUUAGCAUGGAAGCUUAUUAAAUUUUGGCUUCUGAAGGUGGAGAAUUUGCAAAUGUUUAGACUGGAUUAGGUUCAUGGGGUGAAGUCCCCUGAUUAAUCAUGAUGGCUUUCUAGAAUGAGGCACAGGGACACAGAGGACGUGUGUGCUCCCUGUGACUCUGCUUCCUGGCUGAACACAUGAUUGUUCCUCCACACACCAAAGGCCAGACUAAUGGGGCCACCUGAUCCUGGCCAACGAAAGCCUGGGCAGUUCUCCAAACUGAAUUUCAAAUUGAAAGGAAGAGCUAAGUUCACUAAGCUCAGUGUGUAUAGUGUCCUUGUAUGGUGUGGUCCAAUGCUCAGCUCAUCUGUGUGUACAUCUAUCAUAACCGACAAUGAACAAGAACAGAUGAGCAUAUGGAUAGGUGCAAUCAUUGUCCUCUAUCUCAUGUCUCAUGAACAGGUAAAACAAAAUCACUUCUUGGAAGUCACCGAAGCCAGAUCUUUGAUUUUUCAAUGCAGCAAAAGUUUAUAUACAUUGAAAACUUAAAAAUUAA
rnacentral:lncRNA from 1 species